rnacentral:rRNA from 1 species
AUUGAACGCUGGCGGCAUGCUCUACACAUGCAAGUCGAACGGUAACAGGCCGCAAGGUGCUGACGAGUGGCGAACGGGUGAGUAAUGCAUCGGAACGUGCCCAGUCGUGGGGGAUAACUACUCGAAAGAGUAGCUAAUACCGCAUACGAUCUAUGGAUGAAAGCGGGGGACCGUAAGGCCUCGCGCGAUUGGAGCGGCCGAUGUCAGAUUAGGUAGUUGGUGGGGUAAAGGCUCACCAAGCCAACGAUCUGUAGCUGGUCUGAGAGGACGACCAGCCACACUGGGACUGAGACACGGCCUAGACUCCUACGGGAGGCAGCAGUGGGGAAUUUUGGACAAUGGGCGCAAGCCUGAUCCAGCAAUGCCGCGUGCAGGAAGAAGGCCUUCGGGUUGUAAACUGCUUUUGUACGGAACGAAACGGCUCUGGUUAAUACCCGGGGCUAAUGACGGUACCGUAAGAAUAAGCACCGGCUAACUACGUG